rnacentral:rRNA from 1 species
UACGUAGGGUGCAAGCGUUGUCCGGAAUUAUUGGGCGUAAAGAGCUCGUAGGCGGCCUGUCGCGUCGGCUGUGAAAACCCGGGGCUCAACCCCGGGCCUGCAGUCGAUACGGGCAGGCUAGAGUCCGGCAGGGGAGACUGGAAUUCCUGGUGUAGCGGUGAAAUGCGCAGAUAUCGGGAGGAACACCGGUGGCGAAGGCGGUUCUCUGGGCCUGUACUGACGCUGAGGAGCGAAAGCGUGGGGAGCGAACAGG